rnacentral:snRNA from 1 species
GUGCUCACUUCAGCAACAUGUAUACUAAAAUUGGAAUAAUACAGAGAAGAUUAGCAUGGCCCCUGUGCAAGGAUAACAUGCAAAUUCGUGAAGUAUUCCAUAUUAAA